UGGGGAAUAUUGGACAAUGGGCGAAAGCCUGAUCCAGCCAUGCCGCGUGAGUGAUGAAGGCCCUAGGGUUGUAAAGCUCUUUUGUGCGGGAAGAUAAUGACGGUACCGCAAGAAUAAGCCCCGGCUAACUUCGUGCCAGCAGCCGCGGUAAUACGAAGGGGGCUAGCGUUGCUCGGAAUCACUGGGCGUAAAGGGUGCGUAGGCGGGUUUCUAAGUCAGAGGUGAAAGCCUGGAGCUCAACUCCAGAACUGCCUUUGAUACUGGAAGUCUUGAGUUCGGGAGAGGUGAGUGGAACUGCGAGUGUAGAGGUGAAAUUCGUAGAUAUUCGCAAGAACACCAGUGGCGAAGGCGGCUCACUGACUCGAUACUGACGCUGAGGCACGAAAGCGUGGGGAGCAAACA
rnacentral:rRNA from 1 species